AUGGCCAUCUUCGAUGAAUUCUAUGUGGGAUCCAUUGACCUCGGCCGCCUCAAUUUCGGGAUUAUCUCGCCGAUUCCGAAAGUGCCUGGGGCAUCCGACAUUCGACAGUUUCGACCGAUCACGGUGAUCAACGUGAUCUUCCGUAUUCUGGCGAAAGGGUACGCCAAUAGGGUGACCCUGCUUGUGGAUUGCAUUACCCACCCCAAUCAAUCGGCCUUCAUCCAAGGCCAUUAUAUCCUGGACGGGGUUCUAGUCCUUCAUGAAGUCCUCCACGAGAUCCGCGCGAAACACCUCAAGGCGGUCUUCCUGAAGAUUGAUUUCCAUAAGGCCUACGAUAUAAUCAGCUGGUCAUUCCUUUGGGAAGUUUUGCUCCGAAAAGGCUUCGAUGACCGUUGGGUCACCCGCGUGAUGCAGAUGGUGUCCUGCGGUCGAACUGCCGUUAACAUUAAUAGGGAGAUCAGACCCUACUUCCUCACCCUAUGUGGGGUUUGA
rnacentral:rRNA from 1 species